CAUUCAAAAGGAUGACUCCUUGUCUCCAGUAGUACGAAGUAGCUUCUGAUUUGAGUGAGAAGAUGGAAACUGGGAGGAAAGGGAAGUUGACGGUGCUCCUGCCAGCUGUUGGAGUGAUGCUGCAACACCCCAACCAGGGCUGGCUGCUGGAAGAACAACAGAGAAGCGAGGUGUGAGAGUAUUAUUGGCCAUGGAAGUCCUUCUUUGUUGUAUAAACUUUUUUUUUUUUUUUUUUAAUGUCAGUAUACUUCCUUUUUUAGGUUACCAUGACACUGAGAGAACACUGAACUGCAUUUUGAAACAGGCUUCCUGGUCCAGCGGUACUGAAUAUAGGCUGAUACCUCAGACAAGGUUCUUCAAGGGUUAGGGCAACAGUGAUUGUCCCUUCCAGGAUGCCUGUAAAGUAUUUGCUGGUGGUGGUUGUAACUGUUCUCUCCGAACGCACAGCCUGUCAGCUUCCCACGACCUGCUCGGAGCUAGAGUGUGGAAAUCAGGACACCAGCUGCAUGCUCCUACUGGACCUUGGCUCUUCUUCAGCAAGCAUCACGCAGAGCUGAUAUUUUAUCCAGUCAGCUUAUGCACGUGUGGAGGAGCCGCUGACUUUGGUCACGGAGCUGUGUGCAGUUUGCAGGCCACCUGGGAUGCUUCUGGGCCAGAUCGGGUGGCGUGACUGGCCACAGGGCCAGGUUGGUGCUGGGCUCCUGGGCAGCGAGAGACCCUGUGGGCGGCAGUGAGUGGGAGCACCUGGCUGGGCUGCCCAAGGCUCCCAGCCCCACAUGAGACGGUGUUGGAGGGCUUUUUGGCUGGGAUGCCUCCUUCAUGGCUCGCUCCCAGUGCCUCUGCAUUACGUGGUGUCUAAACCUUAAUGCUCCGGGGAGAGGGGCGUCAUCGCAGCCUGUGGGAUUGCAGCCAUCAGGCAGCCUUGCUGCCCUGGCCUGGGAUCUGGGACCCACUGAGGCUCUGCAUUUGUGUCCCUACAGGUGGCACAUCCACGGUGCAAAGCUUCAGAGAGAUGCCGUGCGCUGAAACACCAGGAGCACCCAGCCCAGCGCGCAGCUUUCUGCUCUGCGGGCCGAGUCCUCUCCGGCUCCCAAGCGCCUGCUCCCAGGAGAGGGCAGUGGAGCCGCACACGCUCCCGUGCUGCGGCCGGCAGGAGAGCCGGCUCCCUCGGGUGCUGGGCAAGGAGAGGAACGGGGCAGCAGAGGUAUGCUCCUGUCUAGCCUGGGUUCUGCACUGACUGGAGGAGCAGUGAAACAAAAACUGAGCAAGUGAGAGAGCCUUUCUCAGCUGGUGUAAGGUGUUGCACGGGUGGAGAGGAGCCUGCGAGACGCGACCUGACAGCAUUUGGGACCCAACAGAGAGGUAAGUCCAC
rnacentral:lncRNA from 1 species